rnacentral:lncRNA from 12 species
CGCCGCCCCCGGGCCGCCGGGACCCCGCGCCGCCGCCCGCUCAGCUGUUUCCGGCCCGCGCCUGUGCUGCGGGAGGAGGCCUUGCGGCGCUCGGCCCGGCCCCUCCCGAUUGGCCCGCGGCGUCACGUGCCCGCAAUCAGCUGGGGCCAGCUGGGGCGGCUCGGGCGGCCUCGCCGGGCGGGGUGGGCGUGCGCCCGCCCGCACCCCCUGACGCCGCCCGCCGUCCGGGUAGCCGCGCCGCGCACUGCGGAUUGGGAGCCGCGAGGCGGAACUGCUCCCCGAAGAGCUGUUGCGUCCUGACGCCUAGUAACCCCCCCUCCGAGGGAGAGCCCGGGAAGGUGGACGACGAGCUCAUUGAUGACUAAACAAUAAGUAUUAUAGAAAUAUAGUAAACCUGGAAAGCAUUCAGCAACAACAAAGGCAAUUAUUUGAAGAACCAAAACAAAAAUAUAGAAGCUACUGCCCAUUGAAGACCUGAUUCCACAACCAGAACAUCAUUUGAUACAGCAAAGGAAACUAGUCGGGUAUUGCAAGAGAAUUAACAAGAGGAAAACAGAGCUUUGUCUUGUCACUGAAACCUUGGCUUGGUUUUUAGAACUUCAGCUAAAAAAAUGGGCAGAAUUUUCCUUGAUCAUAUCGGUGGUACCCGUCUGUUUUCUUGUGCAAACUGUGACACAAUCCUGACCAACCGCUCAGAACUCAUCUCUACUCGGUUCACAGGUGCCACUGGCAGAGCAUUUCUUUUUAACAAGGUAGUUAACCUGCAAUACAGUGAAGUUCAAGACCGGGUCAUGCUCACUGGCCGCCACAUGGUUCGAGAUGUGAGCUGCAAGAACUGCAAUAGCAAACUCGGAUGGAUCUAUGAGUUUGCCACUGAAGACAGCCAGCGCUAUAAGGAAGGCCGUGUGAUCCUGGAACGCGCUCUAGUACGAGAGAGUGAGGGCUUCGAGGAGCAUGUACCAUCUGAUAACUCUUGA